GACGUAGGGCGCGAGCGUUGUCCGGAUUUAUUGGGCGUAAAGAGCGUGUAGGCGGCCAGACAGGUCCGUUGUGAAAACUGGAGGCUCAACCUCCAGACGUCGAUGGAAACCGUCUGGCUAGAGUCCGGAAGAGGAGAGUGGAAUUCCUGGUGUAGCGGUGAAAUGCGCAGAUAUCAGGGAGAACACCCGUGGCGAAAGCGGCUCUCUGGGACGGUACUGACGCUGAGACGCGAAAGCGUGGGGAGCGAACAGG
rnacentral:rRNA from 1 species